UGAAAAAAAGUAAAUUCGUUAAGUUCUAAUAUCAUUUCUAAUAUGUAUUUUUCUUCAUAAACCACCGCAAGGUUUAUCUUUAUGAUCCAGACUCAUCUAUACUUUAGUUCCAUGUCAUCAACUUCACAAUUUUGCUUCCUCUAUCACUUUUUAUAUUACUUCAUGUAGUAGUUCACGACUGGUAUAUGAACUUUCAAGAUUUGUAUUUCGCGAGCUUCUGAAACUCAAGUCUUUGUUGUACUAACAAUCUCUCCCGUGAUGAUUAAAUUUUAGUUUCAAAGUGCACACACAAUGCUUCACAUC
rnacentral:lncRNA from 1 species